AGACCAAUCAAAUUUCCAUUAAAAAAGGAAAUAUAAACAUAAGGGCUAUUGUUGAAUUUUACAAUAGUAAUGCCUUAGUCAGUUGUGUCAUGGUUUCAGGCAAUAGAUUUUAAACUUUUUGAGAUCCCCUAGGUAAAGCCUGAAUGCAUUGCUGUCUUUUCCAGUGUCAUGCCCUCUUAAAGAAUCUUUAGUCCAGUAGUCUGAAAGUGAGCAGUUCGGAUUAGGCCAUGAUGACCUGAUAAUGU
rnacentral:lncRNA from 1 species